CCCUUAGAUGUUCUGGGCCGCACGCGUGCUACACUGAACGGUUCAAUGGGUAAGGUAGUGCGAAAGCAUGACCUAAUCUCGAAAUCCGUUCGUGCUGGGGAUAGAAGCUUGCAAUUAUCCUUCUUGAACGAGGAAUACCUUGUAAGCGUGAGUCAUCAUCUCACGCUGAAUACGUCCCUGCCCUUUGUACACACCGCCCGUCGCUCCUACCGAUUGAGUGUUCCGGUGAGGCUUUGGGAGAAUGGCCUCAACAUGAGUUUAUCGUGUUUUGCCGUUUGAACUUAGUCAAACCUUAUCACUUAGGGGAAGGAGAAGUCGUAACA
rnacentral:rRNA from 1 species